rnacentral:rRNA from 2 species
GACAGAGGGUGCAAACGUUGCUCGGAAUUACUGGGCGUAAAGCGCGUGUAGGCGGGCCGGAAAGUCGGGCGUGAAAUCCCUGGGCUCAACCCAGGAACUGCACUCGAAACUUCCGGUCUAGAGUGGUGGAGAGGGAAGUGGAAUUCCUGGUGUAGAGGUGAAAUUCGUAGAUAUCAGGAGGAACACCAGUGGCGAAGGCGGCUUCCUGGACACCAACUGACGCUGAGACGCGAAAGCGUGGGGAGCAAACAGG